AAGUACCAAUGCAACUUUUCUAAGUUUGUAUGUACUUUCUAAGUAUAUCUUAGACACCAUUGGCUGUGUUUCGGAUGGCACGUUAAACUGUAGGUCCCGGCUGUCAUUGAACAUCCUUGGCAGUCGUUACGGGUAGUCAGAAGCCAGUAAGUCUGACACCAGUCUAACCAAGGGGUAUCGGCAGGCCCGCCGCUAGCUGUUUGUUCGCCCGCGUGCAAAACUGAUUAUGCCGCCCUACGACUACAUACGUUUUGUCAAAAAAUAUAUAAG
rnacentral:lncRNA from 1 species